rnacentral:rRNA from 1 species
CUUUGACGUUAUUCUCAAAUCAGGUAGGACUACCCGCUGAACUUAAGCAUAUCAAUAAGCGGAGG